UUAUAUAUCUACAAGUGUGUUUACUAAAUACAUGUAUUAUUAUGCUAAUGUAAUUUAAUUGAUAAAGGUUUUUUUUAUUUAAGAAAAUCUGAGCAUCACUCAAAAUAACUGUCAACAUGUUUGUCAACUAAACAUGUUUUGUAAACGUUAUACAUUUUAUAAAAAUAUUUAAUAUUUUUAUUAUUGAUAAAGUAUAAAGAACAAAUCAGUGUGAAAACGCAGAUUAUAAAAAGUACAUAAAGUGCCAGCAGAGGAUCCAAAAUAAUGAAAAAAAAAAAAAACAUCCAAUGCAACUUGGAAAUUGUAGUCAAAAUACAUCUACAGCAGCAUGCUAAAGCAGUACCAACGCCAGGGCAAAAGACUCAAAUUCCCAGAAUGCACCUGCACCCACCCAUUCAUUCCCACCAAUCAGGAUCAACGGCAUUUUUCAAACCGCUACUGACUCGUUUUCAUGCUAAACAGUACGGCUGAGAGGUCAUGUACCAUGUGGUCGACCUUGCUGACGCUGAAGAGGUUUCUGUGUAAAAAUGAUAUGCAGUGAGGGAGUGAUUCCCCAACAUCGAGGUGGCAGAGAUCCGGGACCUUCUACGGAGGAAGUGCAACAAUGCCAGUUACAAGGCCUCCAGUAGUUCAAAUCAGAGCUAGAUGUCCAUAUAGUACAAGUUGUUCGCAAUUGUUCUCUUCCCGGCAUUUCAAAGAAAGUCGACUGUUUAAGGUUCCCCAUUUUGCCAAUAUCUGUUUUGUGUGUUACU